GAACGCUGGCGGCAGGCUUAACACAUGCAAGUCGAGCGGUAACAGGGGGUGCUUGCACCCCGCUGACGAGCGGCGGACGGGUGAGUAAUGCUUAGGAAUCUGCCCAGUAGUGGGGGAUAGCCCGGGGAAACCCGGAUUAAUACCGCAUACGUCCUACGGGAGAAAGCAGGGGAUCUUCGGACCUUGCGCUAUUGGAUGAGCCUAAGUCGGAUUAGCUAGUUGGUGGGGUAAAGGCCUACCAAGGCAACGAUCCGUAGCUGGUUUGAGAGGAUGAUCAGCCACAUCGGGACUGAGACACGGCCCGAACUCCUACGGGAGGCAGCAGUGGGGAAUAUUGGACAAUGGGGGCAACCCUGAUCCAGCCAUGCCGCGUGUGUGAAGAAGGCUUUCGGGUUGUAAAGCACUUUCAGUAAGGAGGAAAACCUUACGGUUAAUAACCGUGAGGCUUGAUGUUACUUACAGAAGAAGCACCGGCUAACUCCGUGCCAGCAGCCGCGGUAAUACGGAGGGUGCAAGCGUUAAUCGGAAUUACUGGGCGUAAAGCGCGCGUAGGUGGUUCGAUAAGCGGGAUGUG
rnacentral:rRNA from 1 species